AGUAAGUCAGACAGUCGCGGGCGAUGGGCGAAAGCCUCCGUCCGAGGAAAGUCCGGGCUUCACAGAGCAAGGAUAACGGCUAACGGCCGCCGGGGGCGACCCCAGGGAAAGUGCAACAGAGAAUAACCGCGAAUUGUCACGGAGUAUUUCGCGACAACGCAAGGGUGGAAAGGCGAGGUAAGAGCUCACCAAGGCGGGGGAGACUCCGUCGUUGUGUAAACCCUGUCCGAAGCAACACCGCGGAGGGACAUAUAAGCCUGCUCGGCUGUCCUGUGGAGGUGGCACUGAGCCGCUGCGGCAACGCACGGCCAAGAUAGAUGACUGUCUAAUACAGAACCCGGCUUACAGAUUUGCUCG
rnacentral:RNase_P_RNA from 1 species